UUUUGUACAAUCCCCAAUCUCAUUUCAAAUUUCAAAUCCACAGCUCCCUUCGCUUUUCAUUCUCUCUCCGAUUUUGGAUCUGGAUCUGCUAUGUCUUUGCCUUGCGUGGCUCAAUUCCAACAUUCGGUUUCUAAUUCAAGCUCUCAACAACGGGGACAAAUACAUCAACCAACGGCGACACAGUCAGGUUGUCUAAAUUUUGGGUUCCGUCAAAAAAUGGAGAUGGUUACGAGUUCCGGUGGUGAUUGUGUUAAGAUUCUACAGCCAUCAAAGGAGAGGAGGAUGGACCUUCCAACCAAGCUCCGGUGAAGAUUUUGGCAACUCCCGUAAGGAAGUUCUGCCAUGCUUUCCUUCUAUUCAAGGGUUAUAGUAGAGCAAAGGAUCAAGAAAAGAAAGUGAGGAACUAACUAUUGGAACAACUUCCUUCUUUGCAAUAUCUACUGUAUCGCCUUAUCGGAUGCAUGGUGGAUGUUUGGACAAAGGAAAGAGAAGUUGCUGGAUUAAAGGCAGCUUGAGGGAUGUUAGCUUACAUGUAUCUUGGCAAGUCAAAUAACCCGUCAUGUUGGUCAGCGAACGCAGCCGCAGCGAUGAAGGGCAUCAAUGAACUGGUUCCAAAAGGAGUUUCAAGGGCAAUGGUGGACUUGGAGAUGUCGUUUUAUGCAAGAAUAAGUUGGAUGGAAGACAAUAUGAUGUUAAGAAGAUUCAAUUGAAGGGCGGAAGUCAUCCUUUAGAUGAUAAAAUCUAGUAUUUAGUUGGAAUUGCUAACAACCUUGCUUUUCUAGUUCUGUACCCGUUCGGUGGACGGACAUAUUAAUGGUAUAAUGACAUAAGUUAUACCCUGACUAUGUUUUAACCUCUCUUCUAGUUUUGUUUUGUUUGUUUUAGUAUUUAAAUUUCUAUAACUAGUACUUUUAUUUGGUUGUUUGUAAGAUUAAUGUUUAUUAGUUUAAUUAAGAAUCUUAAUUUGUUUCCA